ensembl:snRNA U6 U6 spliceosomal RNA
GGGCGCUUGCUUGUGCCGCACAUAUACUAAAAUUGGAACAAUACUGUGAAGAUUAGUAUGGCCCUGCGAGAGGAAGACACACAGAUUAGUGACGCGAUCCAUAUUUUA